CAAAUAUCAGAGGCAAUACAAAUGUCAGUUUAUAUGUAAAUUGCUACACUUCAGACCCCUGUCAAACUGGCAACAAAGCCCUCAGUGUGACAAGGUCUGGGUAACUGGCUUAAAAAUCAUGAGAUUUUUGAAAACAAUAAAUGUGGGGUUCUUUUUAUUUGCUUACAGCUGUUUGAGCUGUUAGGGUUCAAGUUUUCCUGAUUUUAUUCUCAACUGCAAAGACUAGAGGCAUACAUUUUCUUUUAAAUAAAUGUGACAUUCUCAUUGCAGCAGGGCAGUCUGUUCUUUUAAGGGCCUGCAGAGCCAGGGAGCAGAAAGCCCUGGCCCAGAGAGAAGUCCAGUAGGCAGGUGUUGGGAAUAAGAGGAUCUGGGUAAGCAGCAACUAAUGAUUGCUCUGAUUCCCAGCUGGAAGAUAUAAGUAAAGACCCAAGCUCUAUAAUAGAGAGUAGGAGAGACAGUUGUAGCAGGCUGUAAUGGGAUCUGGCUGGCUCUGUGAUUCCCCCUGAGGCUAAAGGAGGGCUAAGACCUUGAGCUACUGGUGGAUAGAGGACCCUGCAGUAUCAAUCCAGACCACUUUGAUCUGAAAACCCUGCCAUGCAACCGUUCAUACUCCAGGGCUCACAGAUGCAAAAAGUUAAGGGGAAGGAGUCUGUGAGAAUUCUGUAGAGAGACAAGGAUGCAUAGGAGUUCCUGGAGGAGGUGCUGCACGGGCACACUGGCUUAUGCUUUCUUCCCAAGAGGGACCACGCACACAGUUUUUGACCUGCUCCAUUUUCAACAGCCUGAGGCUUUUAAUUUUAAUUUUUUACACAUAUUGCAACAAAAGAAACUACACUUGAAAAUAGUUUUUUUUUUUUUUUUUCCCCUCUGUGGUUCUUAUAAAGGUUA